rnacentral:rRNA from 1 species
UACGUAGGGUGCGAGCGUUAAUCGGAAUUACUGGGCGUAAAGCGUGCGCAGGCGGUUUUGUAAGCCAGAUGUGAAAGCCCCGGGCUUAACCUGGGAAUGGCAUUUGGGGACUGCAAGGCUUGAGUGCGGCAGAGGAGACUGGAAUUCCUGGUGUAGCAGUGGAAAUGCGUAGAUAUCAGGAGGAAUACCGAUGGCGAAGGCAGGUCUCUGGGCUGACACUGACGCUCAUGCA